CAUCUGUCUCUUCUUUCAGAUGCACUCUGGUGUGCCACACAUUUAGCUCUGUCUGCUGGAGAAAUAAAAAAGGUCAAAUGAAGGUUGUGUGGUGCAAUGAAUUUGCUGGGGUGUGAUAAACUGCAGCCAUGUGAGAUCCCAUCCUGAUAAUUCCUGCAUCUCUAAAUGGAAUGCUGCAGGAUGUGUCUUCUGAGGAGUCAGAAGUGUUUCAGUGCAUCCCCAUUUCAGGGCAGCUGCACCCACCACAUUCAGGUGUUUGAACUUGGGGAAUCCAGGGGCUCUGCUACCAUAAAAGAGACAUCUGUGUGCUCCUCUUCACUGCUUCUUGGGGACCCAGGUGAGGAAAGAUCUCACAAGAGUCUGUGUUUCCCAUAGGA